UUAUGACCCUGUUUAUUUACCUUCCAUAUUUCUCACUCCCAAUUGUCAUAAUGAGGAAAAAGAAGCGAAAAUCGGGAUGGAAUACGAGAUAUUUAUAAUACAAACUCGUCGAAAUUAAUUAAAAAAAUGUUCGUUAUAAGAUGGAGUAGUAUAAAAAGGUCAUGUGCGAGCCCGUUCACAUCAAUCUAACUUUGUCUUUUGGAAAUUUUCCAAGAUGCGUGCUCUUUUCAUCCUCGCUGUCCUCCUUGUGUUAGCCUACACCACCUCCGCGCAACCUGGAAGGCCCCCACGUUGCGCUGUCGGAUCAUCGUGGAGGACAUGUGGCCGUGCCUGCCCACGGACUUGUGCUAAUCGUAGACCAAUUUGUCCCGGAGCGCGCUGCCGAGCCGGAUGUUUCUGCAAUCGUGGCUGGAUUCGACGAAGCCGCAACGGUUCAUGUAUAAUAGACAACACGUGUCCUCGCACUAGACCGUGAUCUGUGUCAGGUUUUUGACUAUUUUAGGUAGUCGACCAAGACGAUGAAUGUAUGAAUGUAUCAGUGGAACUUGUAAACAAAAAUAUGAAACAUAUGUUCGAAAAAUUAAGCAUUGGAAUAAAUGAGUCCUUGCAUCAAUA